AGCGAACGCUGGCGGCAGGCUUAACACAUGCAAGUCGAGCGGGCACUUUCGGGUGUCAGCGGCGGACGGGUGAGUAACGCGUGGGAACGUGCCCUCUGGUUCGGAAUAACUCAGGGAAACUUGAGCUAAUACCGGAUACGCCCUUUUGGGGAAAGGCUUGCUGCCGGAGGAUCGGCCCGCGUCUGAUUAGCUAGUUGGUGAGGUAACGGCUCACCAAGGCGACGAUCAGUAGCUGGUCUGAGAGGAUGAUCAGCCACACUGGGACUGAGACACGGCCCAGACUCCUACGGGAGGCAGCAGUGGGGAAUAUUGGACAAUGGGCGCAAGCCUGAUCCAGCCAUGCCGCGUGAGUGAUGAAGGCCUUAGGGUUGUAAAGCUCUUUUAUCCGGGACGAUAAUGACGGUGCCGGAGGAAUAAGCCCCGGCUAACUUCGUG
rnacentral:rRNA from 1 species